GAUGAACGCUGACGGCGUGCCUAAUACAUGCAAGUCGAGCGAACGGACGAGAAGCUUGCUUCUCUGAUGUUAGCGGCGGACGGGUGAGUAACACGUGGAUAACCUACCUAUAAGACUGGGAUAACUUCGGGAAACCGGAGCUAAUACCGGAUAAUAUUUUGAACCGCAUGGUUCAAAAGUGAAAGACGGUCUUGCUGUCACUUAUAGAUGGAUCCGCGCUGCAUUAGCUAGUUGGUAAGGUAACGGCUUACCAAGGCAACGAUGCAUAGCCGACCUGAGAGGGUGAUCGGCCACACUGGAACUGAGACACGGUCCAGACUCCUACGGGAGGCAGCAGUAGGGAAUCUUCCGCAAUGGGCGAAAGCCUGACGGAGCAACGCCGCGUGAGUGAUGAAGGUCUUCGGAUCGUAAAACUCUGUUAUUAGGGAAGAACAUAUGUGUAAGUAACUGUGCACAUCUUGACGGUGCCUAAUCAGAAAGCCACGGCUAACUACGUG
rnacentral:rRNA from 1 species